CAGCCCUCGGAGUCCACCUCCCUCAAGUCGGCGAGAUCCCGGAGAGGAACCGGCUUGCAGCCUGCGGGAAGCCCGUUCCUCUGGGCCAGCAUGGCAUAGCCAAGUCGGCGUGACACAUGCUGAUGCUUCCACUCAGCAGCCGAGUGUGCUGCGCAGAGCCGGGACGGACCGACUGAACGGCUGACUAACGCACCCACCCACUGGCCACACACAACUCUUGAGGUAUGCACACACAAACAUACACUCGCAUACACCCAGGCUGCCUCUUUCCUUUUCCUGUCUCCUCCAUCUCCACAUCGCUCACUCCCGGUCCUGACGCUACAGGGGGGCCGACACAGGUGGAAUUCGUAACGGCACAAUACAAUAAAAAAAUUCAACCCGAUCAAGAUUAUUUCGUAUAUUUUUUUGGACAGACACAAAUGAACACAUCUGUAAUUGGUAGACUUUUGCUAACUCGGAAAUGCUUCUUUAUCUUUGCCAACGACAUGCUUUUAACAGUGGGAAUCAAUGAAUACCAUAAAGUUAAAAUUUGUAUUCAAGGAUGAAGUUGCAAUAAAAUUGUGAAAUCGCAAAAUAGCAACAACUCACCUCGUAGGUAAGAGACCACUAUGACAUCGAGCUAACGCAGACAGGUAAGCGACGUUAAUAACCCAAUUUCGGUCGUUUAGCUAGGCUAACGUGAGCUAAGCUUCACGUCGGUUCUGCGUUUGAUUGAGAAAUUCAGUCAUGAACAACAGGCCAAAAAAAAAAAGCUGUGGUUGAGAACGUGUUCGUAGGGAUGUAAUGAUCCACAAAUGUUACGAUGCUUUUCAACGAAGCCGUGACAAACGAGUUUUGUUGACCAACAGUACGAUGGGUUAGCUUUGAAGUUGAAGCUUGCUACUGGACCGAUACUACUGGAGCAGAUGGGGUCUUCCCACUCUCCGGUGGCCCAAAGGAUCCGACGUGACGCUUCAUCACACUUUCCCCCUCGGGCCCCGCUGUAAUUAACAGCCGCGGUGGGGACAGGCUCGCGAUUCAACUGCGGCCAACGCGCGUCCAUCAACAAGCCCUGCGGUUUGGCGGCUUGCUUAGCCUAGCGCUAGCAUAUGUGGUGCGAAUGUAAAAAGCGUUUGUGUUUCGAUUGGAGGGGAAUAUUUGAGACGGCGGCGUGACCGUGAACAACAACAACAGGAACCCCAGUGGUGGAAUGUUCCCCUCGCAGAGUUUGGUUUAGCGGAAUCCAGUUCUCGCAUUGGGCCCGAAAUAGCACGUGAUAUUCUUUAUGGAAAAGACGGUCGAAAUAGAAAAAGGCCCAUCUGUCAUCUUAGUGGGAUUUAGACCCAAAAGAAUGUUGUUGUUUUUUGUCUUUUGGAACUGCUGCAUUCAGAAAGGAAUUUGGAAAAACACCACAGGCUGUUUCCAUUUUU